rnacentral:rRNA from 1 species
UCGAGAAUUUUUCACAAUGGGGGAAACCCUGAUGGAGCGACGCCGCGUGGAGGAUGAAGGCCCUCGGGUCGUAAACUCCUGUCAUGCGGGAACAAGAAAGUGAUAGUACCGCAAGAGGAAGAGACGGCUAACUCUGUGCCAGCAGCCGCGGUAAUACAGAGGUCUCAAGCGUUGUUCGGAUUCAUUGGGCGUAAAGGGUGCGUAGGUGGCGGUGUAAGUCUAACGUGAAAUCUCGGGGCUCAACCUCGAAAUUGCGUCGGAUACUGCAUCGCUCGAGGAUUGUAGAGGAGAGUGGAAUUCACGGUGUAGCAGUGAAAUGCGUAGAUAUCGUGAGGAAGACCAGUUGCGAAGGCGACUCUCUGGGCAAUUCCUGACACUGAGGCACGAAGGCCAGGGGAGCAAACGG